CCGCGAGGUAGAGCAAAUACUCAAAAAAACAAUCUCAGUUCAGACUGCAGGCUGCAACUCGCCUGCACGAAGUCGGAAUUGCUAGUAAUCGUAGGUCAGCAUACUACGGUGAAUACGUUCCCGGGCCUUGUACACACCGCCCGUCAAACCAUGAGAGUUGGCAACACCCGAAGUCGGUAGUCUAACCGCAAGGAGGACGCCGCCGAAGGUGGGGUUGAUGAUUAGGGUUAAGUCGUAACAAGGUAUC
rnacentral:rRNA from 1 species